AUGGAGGGCUCGACAUCUGCCUCUGGAGCGGCGAUGAGCGACAUGGAAGCAAUGAUGAAAGAGCUUGGGUUGAAGGAGGAUGACUUGGUGGACAUAGUUGUAGAGGACGGUGACAUACCGGAGGAAGCUGCUCGUUGGAUGGCAAUUGCUCGUGUGCACACCGAUAGAUCAUAUAGUCAGUAUUGGUUUUUCUGCAACAUGCGAGUUGCAUGGGAUCUUGCUCAGGAAGUUAAAUUUCGUCCUUUGAAGGAUAACCUUUACACCUUGCAGUUCUCUUGCCUCGGCGAUUGGGAACAAGUAAUGGAAGACGGGCCUUGGACCUUCAAAGGCAAAGCGGUCGUCAUCGAGCCAUAUGAUGGAAUCACCAGACCGUCAUCGAUUAGCUUGAACAAAGUUGAGAUGUGGAUUCAGAUCCAUGACCUCCCGGAACUAUUUUUUGGUCUGAUCAAAUCCCUUGCUGGCACGGUCGGAGACUUCAUCUAUGCUGAACCCAAAUCCCAAGAUUUCGAGGGCAAUUUUUUCAGGGUGCGGGUCAAGGUGGAUGUCACAAAACCUCUGAGGAAUGUUGUGUCCCUGGUGGUAAAGAAUAAGAGGGAGAUCUUCGGGGUUAAAUAUGAGCGACUACCCGAUUGGUGUGUCGUUUGUGGUAUGCUAGGUCACUUGUAUAAAGAAUGUGGUAACGGGAUUCAUCCUCCGUCUGCACUAGUUUUCUUCGAGCUGAUUGGUUUAAGGGGCCGGGGCGAGGACCUGGAGCCGAUGGUGCAUCAGGUGGUGGUAGAGGCAGAGGCAGAGCCGGCCGUGGAGCAGGCAGGGGUGCAAAUCAAAGGGGUGCAGACCAGCAUGAAAGCACAGAAUACAUGGGACGUGUUGAUCCCAUUCUUGACGAUGAUAUAG
rnacentral:rRNA from 1 species